GACAACAUAGGAUCAGAACAACAUAGGAAAAGAACAACAUGGGAAAAGAACAACAUAGGAAAAGAACAACAUAGGAAAAGGACAACAUAGGAAAAGAACAACAUAGGAAAAGAACAACAUAGGAAAAGAACAACAUAGGAAAAGAACAACAUAGGAAAAGAACAACAUAGGAAAAAAACAACAUAGGAAAAGGACAACAUGGGAAAAGAACAACAUAGGAAAAGAACAACAUAGGAAAAGAACAACAUGGGAAAAGGACAACAUGGGAAAAGAACAACAUAGGAAAAGGACAACAUAGGAAAAGAACAACAUAGGAAAAGAACAACAUGGGAAAAGAACAACAUAGGAAAAGAACAACAUAGGAAAAGAACAACAUAGGAAAAGAACAACAUAGGAAAAGAACAA